UUCCGGUUGAUCCCGCCGGACCUGACUGCUAUCGGAUUGAUACUAAGCCAUGCGAGUCAUUGUAGCAAUACAAGGCAUACGGCUCAGUAACGCGUAGUCAACCUACCCUAUGGACGGAAAUAACCUCGGGAAACUGAGAAUAAUAUCCGAUAGAACAUUAUGCCUGGAAUGGUUUAUGUUCCAAAUGAUUUAUCGCCGUAGGAUGGGACUGCGGCCUAUCAGUUUGUUGGUGAGGUAAUGGCCCACCAAGACUAUUACAGGUACGGGCUCUGAGAGGAGUAGCCCGGAGAUGGGUACUGAGACACGGACCCAGGCCCUAUGGGGCGCAGCAGGCGAGAAAACUUUGCAAUGUGCGAAAGCACGACAAGGUUAAUCCGAGUGAUUUCUGCUAAAGAAAUCUUUUGUUAGUCCUAGAAACACUAACGAAUAAGGGGUGGGCAAGUUCUGGUGUCAGCCGCCGCGGUAAAACCAGCACCUCAAGUGGUCAGGAUGAUUAUUGGGCCUAAAGCAUCCGUAGCCGGCUCUGUAAGUCCUCGGUUAAAUCUGUACGCUUAACGUACAGGCUGCCGGGAAUACUGCAUAGCUAGGGAGUGGGAGAGGUAGACGGUACUCGGUAGGAAGGGGUAAAAUCCUUUGAUCUAUUGAUGACCACCUGUGGCGAAGGCAAUCUACCAAAACACGUCCGACGGUGAGGGAUGAAAGCUGGGGGAGCAAACCGGAUUAGAUACCCGGGUAGUCCCAGCUGUAAACUAUGCAAACUCAGUGAUGCAUUGGCUUGUGGCCAAUGCAGUGCUGCAGGGAAGCCGUUAAGUUUGCCGCCUGGGAAGUACGUACGCAAGUAUGAAACUUAAAGGAAUUGGCGGGGGAGCACCACAA
rnacentral:rRNA from 2 species